GGAAGCCGGGAUGUUAGGGCUGGUCCUAGCGCCCUUUCCAUUUCUCCUCUUUCCGAAUCCCGAGGGCGAAAAAGAGCCCAAAAAAGAAAAAAAAAAGAGAGAGAGAGAAGGGCAUAAUGCAGGAUAAUUCACAGUUCUCGACCAUAGCUUAUUCUUACGAAUGAUUACGAGGGACUUAGUUUUAGCCCACAAUGUCGUAACUAGAUUCAUUGGAGCGGACGACGAUAUUGACAGCAAACGGACAAAGGGAAAAGAGAUAAUUUUACGUUUCAGGAUAGAAAACGGUUGUGGGAAAACAGGCUGGGUGGUUUCGGUAUUUCCCUUGUCCAUGAAAACAAUUCCUGAAGGCCCUCGUGCUGAUGGGGGAUUCAACGAGCAUAAUAACAGCGACCAAGCGCAUUCUCAGGAUGGACAACAGGGGCCAUCAUCCGCUCACCUGGCGGGCUUAGCAACAUCUGGCGAGCAACAGAUAUGCGACGUUGAGACGGACGAAAAAUCGAGAGGAGAAUGGAAUAACGGCAAGGGGUUAAUUGAGGCCGAAAAUGUUCUCUCGGGCACAGGAGCCAUCGAUGACGACGACAACGACAACGACAACAACAAUGAUAAUAAUGUAGUGG
rnacentral:sRNA from 1 species